rnacentral:piRNA from 1 species
UAUUUUUGGGUUGCUUUUGCAACAGCUGGC